CUGGCACCACGCUGCACCCGGAAGCAGCCAGCAGAUCCAGCUCCGAAGCGGAGGGGGCACCAAGGAGACAGGACAGGCUGGGAGCCUGCCUUAGCCCCACUACGCCGAUGACCGGUAGCUACCCAAGGUGUACAACGUCAUAUGAUGGACAAGGGUAUUGCUAAAGGAUCUUUUAUCCUGAAGUGGCCUGUACUGAUGAUCUGAUGCUAAUACAGCCUCAAAAGCCAAUCAAUUCAUAACAGCACAGACCUUAGGGGGAACAACAUGUGCUAUGAAUUUUUCUGCUGGAACAGCUCAUGCUGAGGAGAGGAAUUGUGACAUCAGAGACAAGUCACCUGUUCAGUGAAAUAUUUGGAGUGGUGGAAUUGUGACUUCACACCAAGGAGAGUAGUCAUGCAGCAGGCAAGGAUGGGUGGAGACAGGAACAAAGACUAUUUUUUUUUUAUGAAUAUGGGACCAACCACUUCUACUACCCAGAGGAAUACAGAAUAUUUACACAGCUGGAUCUGCCAAACUGCCAUGUCAUUAUAUUUUCCUGGAAUUACAUCUAGAAUGAAUGACACUGCAGAAGCAUCCAGUCAGAAUUCACCAUCACCAGGCGUGCAAAAUGAAAGACAAAAGAAAUGGAAAAAGAGAGAUAGUGUGUCAGUGCCAAGAGCUGUGGGUUUUCAGGAGGGAUUUGAAGGCAGAGAGUAAGGAUGCUUUACAUACUGGGAGAAAGCAAAUGUAAGUUGUUUUUAAUUUUGGUUGUAAUGUUACAAAGCCAAAAGGAUACAAUCAUGUGGUUUUAUUUCCCCAUGUCAUCAGGGACAUUUGUUUAUACUCAGGUCUUGAGAUACCCAAUCUCAUUGUGCAGCAUUUCUUUAGAAAUGUCCCCCCCAUUACUACAUCUGUGGUUUGGAACAAGAAAUUGAGAGACAGGAUUAUCCAGUGGUUAGGGCACUAGCCUGGAACUUGGGAGACCAAGGUACAAUUCCUUGCUCUGCCACAGACUUCCUGUGUGACUUUGAGACUUUGAUUAAUUCACUUCGGGCUAGAUGCACAAAGGGGACUUAGGCUCAGUGUUCCAAUACCUAGCUUUUAUGCGCCCUGCUGUCUAGCAGAAUCACAGCCCUAAAUUAGGUAACCAGGCUUCCUAUACA